UGCAACAUUUGCUGCCUUGGUUCGUUCCCUCUGCUCGGAGUCCUCCUUGGCUCUUCCUCUCAUCUUUACUAUGAAGGCACUCCUCACCAUAUGCUUCUUUUUGGGCCUCCUUUCUCCAGUUUCAGUGAGAAAGGUGGACUAUAGAUGAAACCAACCAGCCAGCCAGCCAGCCAACCAACCAACCAACCAACCAUUAAGAACAAGAAACAUCUCCAUCUGGUGGUGUUGUAGAAGAGGAAAUGCAUAUAUCCUUCCAAGGCUGUGCAAGACCCAACAUUUGUUACAUUCCCCUUCCAAAGACAGGUGUAUCCUCUCAUCAAAUACAAUUCGCCAUUGAGCGACUGCAGUACAUCAAAGGCUAUGAAGACUUGAUGGUGUCGGUGGGAGACUCCAAAUCCCUCCCUUCUUAAGAGUCCACCAUUCUUGUACGAGAAGGAGGAAGUUGGGGACCAAGUGAUUGGCACACGGAAGGGCUGACACUCAGGACUCCUGGGCUGCCUUCUCUGUAGCAGGUGGAGGUGUGGGGAACAAGCAGGGAAGGAGAGAAGACCUUGGGGUUUAGAGGCUGAAGCUCAUGGGCAGAAUACAUUUCCACUGAAUCACAAUCAAAAUAAUCCAAAUAAAUUGGCCUGUCAAAUA